rnacentral:rRNA from 1 species
UACGGGGGGGGCAAGCGUUGUUCGGAAUUACUGGGCGUAAAGGGCGCGUAGGCGGCCUUCUAAGUCGGACGUGAAAUCCCUCGGCUCAACCGAGGAACUGCGUCUGAUACUGGAAGGCUUGAAUCCGGGAGAGGGAUGUGGAAUUCCUGGUGUAGCGGUGAAAUGCGCAGAUAUCAGGAGGAACACCGAUGGCGAAGGCAGGUCUCUGGGCAUUAACUGACGCUGAGGAGCGAAAGCAUGGGGAGCGAACAGG